rnacentral:rRNA from 1 species
AACGAACGCUGGCGGCAUGCCUAACACAUGCAAGUCGAACGAGACCUUCGGGUCUAGUGGCGCACGGGUGCGUAACGCGUGGGAACCUGCCCUUAGGCUCGGAAUAACUCCCCGAAAGGGGUGCUAAUACCGGAUAAUGUCUCCGGACCAAAGAUUUAUCGCCUUUGGAUGGGCCCGCGUUGGAUUAGCUAGUUGGUAGGGUAAAAGCCUACCAAGGCGACGAUCCAUAGCUGGUCUGAGAGGAUGAUCAGCCACACUGGGACUGAGACACGGCCCAGACUCCUACGGGAGGCAGCAGUGGGGAAUAUUGGACAAUGGGCGAAAGCCUGAUCCAGCAAUGCCGCGUGAGUGAUGAAGGCCUUAGGGUUGUAAAGCUCUUUUACCCGGGAUGAUAAUGACAGUACCGGGAGAAUAAGCUCCGGCUAACUCCGUG